rnacentral:lncRNA from 1 species
AUGAGGCUCCGUCUCACAAGCAGGAAGCCACUUCUACCUCUGACCGUCAGAACUGGUGCCAAGGUUUGGCCCCCUUGGGUACCAAUUGAAGCCCAUAAACUCAUCUGGAGGCCCCAUCAAUCAACUCAUAGAUCACUGUCCUGCCGAAUGUUCAUCUUGAACGUCUUCGGGUCGACUUCAGUUUGGAGAUAUUUCUUCCCAUUGCUGCUGUCCAGUUUCUUCGGCUGGUUGUCCUCACCCAUCUUGUACCAGAAAAUGGAGUAUUUUGAAGUACGCAUGUUGGAUACGUUGCAGGUGAACACCGCGUUUCCCCCCACGGCUGGAUUUAACUGGGCAGCUGAGAAGAUGACUGUCCAAAUAAACCAAAAAAAGGAAGAUGUGUCAUUAGUACGGUAUGUUUUUGUGCGGGUUGGUUGAGGGGUGGCCAGAGGCCCUAUAGGAGUCUUCGUGGCUUGUAAGACUUUCCGAGGACGCCCUGCUCCCGGUCCCAAGGCCAUCCCCGACAUGUUUAACAGAGACAUGAGGCAGAGCCUUUUCGGUGGCUGCUCCCUGGUUGUGAAAUACUCCCCUUCAGGAAGAGAAGGUGCCCCCUGGGUUUGGGAAACUGUAUUUGUGUUUGUGUAUCUCUCAAUGGAAUUCCUCCCAACCCUAAAACAAGCUGGGGGGGGGGGUCAGGGUAAAAUUACUUCUCCAGUCCUCUCUCCAAAGUGCCACCCAUGUUCCAGAUGCUUGGAGCACCAGGUUGAAAAGAGCAAAAUGGAUGCCCCGGGAAGGUCUCUCCUGCUUUAUGCUCUUACAGCUUUCCUUCACUUUGGGGAGCUUAAUCAGAGAUUCUCCCAAUAUUUCGUGAUUCCUGAGAGUUGGGCCAAAAUGAUCAAAUAUGAUCACUCAUUUCAACAAGAGUUGACCCACUGAUGCAGAACUCAGGGAAAUCAAGCCUGAGCGCUCCCUGGAAGGACAGAUCCUGAAGCUGAGGUUCCAAGACUUUGGCCAUCUCAUGAGAAGAGAAGACUCCUUGGAAAAGACCUUGAUGUUGGGAAAAUGUGAGGGCAAGAGGAGAAGGGGACGACAGAGGACGAGAUGGUUACAACAACAACAACAACAACUGAUGCAGUGGGAUUUCCUUGGGUGUUAACUAACCAAUGAGCAAGUUGUUCAAGGGGCUUCAGUCUAUGAAAAUUGGUCAAAACGUCAGACCCCAUGUGUUUUUUUUCCAAUGAAUUUCUGCUAAUGGUGUGUG